CUUUCCCCCAGUUGUGACAACUAAUAUGGUCUCCAAGAUUGUCAAAGUCCCCUCGGUGGACAAAACCCUCCUGGUCGAGGACCACCGAUCUAGGGAAUGCCAAAGCAGGCAGCUCAGUGCACGAGUUCGGAGUCCAGGGAUGAGGUCCAGGCUGGAGACACAAAUACGAGCGUCAUUAGGAUAGAGGUGAUAUUUCAGGACAUGAGAAGGAGUGGGCUUAUCUACGCAUAGGAGGAUCUCCUGCUGGCCUUGAAGGAUCAAAGAGCCAUGUUUCAAGCC